rnacentral:lncRNA from 1 species
AUUACUUUCGAAUCCCACCUCUUUCCAACCGAACUUUCCAAGGUACUUGCCCGAUGGUUGGGAUUGAAAUGUGAAAUGGGAUGGAGGGUUGAUGCCGUCGCAAAAUCAAAACAUGAGCAAAUUCCAUACGCUCGGAUGGAGAACCAACCAUAAGGUAUUUGCAAUUGAUACCAAAGGCAUCAUCAUGUCUCUAAUAUAAUACAGGAAAAAUGAGUGGAAAACUAUAAAAACCUAAUAUCCCCUGCUUACCAAGAUGUACAAAUUUUCCAACAUCAAUCUCUCUACCUUUUAUUUCAUAACCUUCCUCGCAAAUACAGUCAUAUUAGCUCCUAAAUCUUUUAGAUGUUCGCGAGGUUCUCUCCUUUC